rnacentral:sRNA from 1 species
UCCAGGUGCCCUGUCCAGCUGACUGCAAGGACAGAGAGGAGUCCUGCCCAGCUCUUGGAUCAGUCUGCUGGCCGAGGAGCCCGGUGGAGCCGGGGGUGACCCUGGAGCCCAGCCUGCCCCGAGGAGGCCCCGGCUCAGAGCCAUGCCAGGUGUCUGUGAUAGGGCCCCUGACUUCCUCUCCCCGUCUGAAGACCAGGUGCUGAGGCCUGCCUUGGGCAGCUCAGUGGCUCUGAACUGCACGGCUUGGGUAGUCUCUGGGCCCCACUGCUCCCUGCCUUCAGUCCAGUGGCUGAAAGAUGGGCUUCCGUUGGGAAAUGGGGGCCACUACAGCCUCCACGAGCACUCCUGGGUCAAGGCCAACCUGUCAGAGGUGCUUGUGUCCAGUGUCCUGGGGGUCAACGUGACCAGCGCUGAAGUCUAUGGGGCCUUCACCUGCUCCAUCCAGAACAUCAGCUUCUCCUUCACUCUUCAGAGAGCUGGCCCUACAAGCCACGUGGCUGCGGUGCUGGCCUCCCUCCUGGUCCUGCUGGCCCUGCUGCUGGCCGCCCUGCUCUAUGUCAAGUGCCGUCUCAACGUGCUGCUCUGACGGGAAGCUCUACGACGCCUACGUCUCCUACAGCGACUGCC